rnacentral:misc_RNA from 1 species
UCCGAGUUGACCCCGGCAGUCUCCUGCGAGUCCCCGCCAUUACGCGCUGGCAACACAGGACAAGGGUUGCGCUCGUUGCGGGACUUAACCCCACAUCUCACGACACGAGCUGACGACAGCCAUGCAGCACCUGUGCUGGCGCUCCGAAGAGGGGCCGGUGUUUCCACCGGCUUGCACCAGCAUGUCAAGCCCAGGUAAGGUUCUUCGCGUUGCAUCGAAUUAAAGAACAUGCUCCGCUGCUUGUGCGGGCCCCCGUCAAUUCCUUUGAGUUUCAGCCUUGCGGCCGUACUCCCCAGGCGGGGCACUUAUCGCGUUAGCUGCGGCACCGAAGGGGUCGCUCCCCCCAGCACCUAGUGCCCAUCGUUUACGGCGUGGACUAC